rnacentral:snRNA from 1 species
CGACCUACCACAAUCGCUAGGAGGUCCUCGACUAGGAGCUCCUCUCAGGAUGAGGCCCUUUCAUUGCACUUCGACUGGGUUGACUCCUGCGAUUACCCCUAAUGUGGGUAACUCGAGCGUAUAAUUUCUGGUAGUGGGGACCUGCGUUCGCGCUCGUCCCCU